AAAAAGGGUUGGUCAGCUAUGUAUGCCACGCACAUCUUUUUAUUGAUGAGCGUUGUAUGGUUAUCAAGAAAUAUGGCCGACAUAAUUUAUGGAAUAUAUAGGAUUGACUUGCUUGGCAAACCCUGAU